CAAUGGGUCUCCUUGUAGUACAAAUAAUUAGAAGAUUAGGUGGAAACAUGGAUUUAGCAAUUAUAUUUUUCUAGGUGGGUCGAAAUACUAAUAAACAGAAAACGUCAUAAACAUUAACGUUUAUUUUCUUAAAUUCGAAUGAGUGGCAACCUCUAAUCAGUUAUACAGGAGGAUUUGUUAACAUUCCAGCAGGACGGUGGCUCCACCUCAUUAUUUUCUUCCGAUCCGACAGUGGUUAAACGAGAGAUUUCCGGGUACAUGGGCUGGCAGAAGGGGACCAAUAGACCACUCCAGAAUGACGUCACUGACAGGUCGGCAAAAUUUGCUGGGAGGCACACAAACCAAUUAAUUUUCACGUUGUCCAUAUGUAAACACAAUAAUCCAAGGUUUAAACGAACUUAAAACAGUGAAAAAUGCCUCAUUUUUGUUGUGUUAUUAAGUGUUUAAUGCGUGAUAAUGUCUAAUUUUUCCCAAAUCAUGCUGCUUUGGCCAACAGAGGAAAUAAUUUAAAUGCAUUAUCUAAUGUUCGAAGAGAAGUGCGGUUAAAAACUUUGAAAUGAAAGGCCCUUGUAUGAAAGUGAGAUUAAAAAGAAACGAAUUUGUUCCAAAGACUUUAUAACUGACGAAUUAUGUUAGGAGAUAAGUCUAAUUCAGCCAAAAUUUGGGAUAUUCUUCCUGUCUACAACUCUACAAGUCAUCUUCUAGAUUUGACAGAUUAAGAAAAAGAUUUAAAAAUGAAUCAGAGUUAAAGAUGUUGCUAUAAAAGAUGAAAAUCGACCAGUGAAUUUUCAUAAUCCUCCAAUCGUUAAUCAACUUUAUUCAAUUUAAAUCGUCUGAGAUAGAAGACGAUAAACUCAAAUACACGACAAGGAUUGCACUUCUGGAAGAUCAGCUGAAUAAGAACGAUAACAGGACGGUGUUCAGAUCAAAUAUAUACCAAGAAUAUUUUUCGUGAAGUCUCGGCUGAGUAUGCCUAUAAUACAAGAACUGUGGAUUUUGAAAUCCUAACAUAGCUGAGCCUCUAUGAGAAGGGUCCUUGGUACAUGAGUGUAAAGUUGUUUAAUAGGUUGCCACUUGAAGUCAAGUUAAUAGAAGUAAAGAGUAGUUUGAGACAGAAGUAAAGAGUAGUUGCACAAUUGAAAAAUUUGUUAAUUUGAUAUAGAGCCAUAUUUCUCAGAUUUCCUGUAGACAAGUCAAUAAAUAUUGUGUGACGUCAUUUCAUUUUCUGUAUAUACUAUUUUGUAUUUUUACAUUUGUAUGUUACAUUCCUUGAAGUAAAGAUUAUUAUUAUUAUUAACUACUAAUA